rnacentral:tRNA from 1 species
AAAAAUAUAAUCUAUAUUUAAGAUAUGUGAUUUACAUUGACAGUAAGAAAUUUUCUAUUUUUA